AUACGGAGGAUCCGAGCGUUAUCCGGAUUUAUCGGGUUUAAAGGGUGCGUAGGUGGUUUGAUAAGUCAGCGGUGAAAGUUUGCAGCUUAACUGUAAAAAUGCCGUUGAAACUGUCGGACUUGAGUGUAAAUGAGGUAGGCGGAAUGCGUGGUGUAGCGGUGAAAUGCAUAGAUAUCACGCAGAACUCCGAUUGCGAAGGCAGCUCACUAAGCUACAACUGACACUGAAGCACGAAAGCGUGGGGAUCAAACAGGAUUAGAUACCCUGGUAGUCCACGCAGUAAACGAUGAUUACUAGCUGUUUGCGAUACACAGUAAGCGGCACAGCGAAAGCGUUAAGUAAUCCACCUGGGGAGUACGCCGGCAACGGUGAAACUCAAAGGAAUUGACGGGG
rnacentral:rRNA from 1 species